AAUUAAGGAAAGAUAGUCUCCAAGGCAGGUUUUUAUAAUUCUGCCUUCACAUGGUGUUGUAAGGAGGUCCAUGUCUCCUUUGCAGAGUAAGAGAAGAUUCCCAUGACUGUAAUCCCUGUAGGAACAGCUGGCAUUUUUUACAUCUGACUGAAAACGUGCUUUGAAACCACCUUUCAAAAUGUGGUCUUUCUGCGGUACAGCUGGGAUGUCCCUGCCUUCCCCGCUUCCCCACCAUGCACGGAAGUAAAAGUGUCAUCCAGAGGCCACCAGGAACACGCCUGUAACCCAGCAAAGUUGAGGCCAUUGUCUGGUUCAUCACAAGAAGGAAGGCUUUGCACCAUUGGGGCCCAGCAGCAGCUCAGCAGCAGUGAGAGGGCCUUGGGAAAGACUUGGAGGGUUUGGCUUAUAUAAGGUGAUCCUGGGGAG
rnacentral:lncRNA from 13 species